rnacentral:rRNA from 1 species
UACAGAGGUGGCAAGCGUUGUUCGGAAUUACUGGGCGUAAAGGGCGCGUAGGCGGCUUGGUCAGUCCCGUGUGAAAUCCCUCGGCUCAACUGAGGAACUGCACGGGAAACUGCCUGGCUUGAGUUCGGGAGAGGGAAGCGGAAUUCCGGGUGUAGCGGUGAAAUGCGUAGAUAUCCGGAGGAACACCGGUGGCGAAGGCGGCUUCCUGGACCGACACUGACGCUGAGGCGCGAAAGCGUGGGGAGCGAACCGG